CCUACGGGCGGCAGCAGUGAGGAAUAUUGGUCAAUGGGCGAAAGCCUGAACCAGCCAAGUCGCGUGAGGGAUGACGGCCCUAUGGGUUGUAAACUUCUUUUAUAUGGGAAUAAAAUGCUUCACGUGUGGGGUUUUGUAUGUACCAUAUGAAUAAGGAUCGGCUAACUCCGUGCCAGCAGCCGCGGUAAUACGGAGGAUGCGAGCGUUAUCCGGAUUUAUUGGGUUUAAAGGGAGCGUAGGCGGGUUGUUAAGUCAGGUGUGAAAGUGUGCGGCUCAACCCUAGAAUUGCAGUUGAAACUGGCAGUCUUGAGUACAGUAGAGGUGGGCGGAAUUCGUGGUGUAGCGGUGAAAUGCUUAGAUAUCACGAAGAACUCCGAUUGCGAAGGCAGCUAACUGGACUGUAACUGACGCUGAGGCUCGAAAGUGUGGGUAUCAAACAGGAUUAGAUACCCGGGUAGUC
rnacentral:rRNA from 1 species